CCUACGGGGGGCUGCAGUGGGGAAUAUUGGACAAUGGGGGGAACCCUGAUCCAGCCAUGCCGCGUGUGUGAAGAAGGCCCUCGGGUUGUAAAGCACUUUCAGUGAGGAAGAACGCCUGGUGGUUAAUACCCAUCAGGAAAGACAUCACUCACAGAAGAAGCACCGGCUAACUCCGUGCCAGCAGCCGCGGUAAUACGGAGGGUGCGAGCGUUAAUCGGAAUUACUGGGCGUAAAGCGCGCGUAGGUGGCUCGAUAAGCCGGUUGUGAAAGCCCCGGGCUCAACCUGGGAACGGCAUCCGGAACUGUCAAGCUAGAGUGCAGGAGAGGAAGGUAGAAUUCCCGGUGUAGCGGUGAAAUGCGUAGAGAUCGGGAGGAAUACCAGUGGCGAAGGCGGCCUUCUGGACUGACACUGACACUGAGGUGCGAAAGCGUGGGUAGCAAACAGGAUUAGAUACCCGGGUAGUC
rnacentral:rRNA from 1 species